AUGAUUAAUUUAAUGGCUGCAGUAUAUUGACUGUACAAAGGUAGCAUAAUCAUUUGCUUUAUAAAUUAAAGCUUGUAUGAAUGGUAUUAUGAAAAUAUGACUGUCUUUUAUUUAUCAAUAAAAUUUGAUUUUCCAGUGAAGAGACUGUAAAUUUUUAGAAAGACGAGAAGACCCUAAUGAGUUUUAUAUAUUGUUAUAUAUUAUUAUAAUUAUAUAUUUUAUUGGGGCAAUAAGAGAAAAAAUCUUCUUUUUAUAUAAAAGAAUAAUAUUUAAUGAACCAUUAAUAAUGAUUAAAAGUUUAAAUUACCAUAGGGAUAACAGCAUAAUUCUUUUCAAGAGUACUUAUCGACAAAAGAGAUUAUGACCUCGAUGUUG
rnacentral:rRNA from 1 species